rnacentral:lncRNA from 1 species
CCUAGCUCGAAUGCAAGAAAAAAAUAUCUCCAAAUUAUCUUGAGAUACCUAUUACUCUAUAAGGUAUCUCAAGAUAAUUUGGAGAUAUUUUUUUCUUGCAUUCGAGCUAGGGGAGGCAACAACAACAAUUCUAGUGUUGACCAGUUCAGAUGGGCUCUUAGAAAACUAUUAUUUUGUAAAAACAUGUGUAUUGAAAACACAAAUUCUACAAAUUACAACAGCAUGCAAUACUCAAUAUUUGAGUUCCAGAUCAAUUCAGCAAUGUGUAUAUAAUAAUGAUAGUAUGCUCUCAAAUGACAGUGAUAAUGUACUCUCAACUGAUGUACAAAUAGAGAAUAUUAUGUCCUUGGUCCAUUCAGAAUAUCUCUCAGAAAUUUCGGAAAAUAUUGUGAUUUAUAUUGCAGGAUAUGUAAUUCGGAAAGUAAUGAGUAAUCUUACAUGUGAUAAGUGUUCUGAAAUUCUUAUAAAAUUUCCAUUUAAAAGUGAUCA